rnacentral:rRNA from 1 species
GGUUGCGAUCAUACCAGCACUAACGCACCGGAUCCCAUCAGAACUCCGCAGUUAAGCGUGCUUGGGCGACAGUAGUACUAGGAUGGGUGACCCCCUGGGAAGUCCUCGUGUUGCAACCCC